rnacentral:rRNA from 1 species
UAAGGAAUUUUCGUCAAUGGGGGAAACCCUGAACGAGCAACGCCGCGUGGAGGAUGAAGGUUUUCGGAUUGUAAACUCCUUUUGUGAGGGACGAUAAUGACGGUACCUCGCGAAUAAGCCCCGGCUAACUCUGUGCCAGCAGCCGCGGUAAUACAGAGGGGGCAAGCGUUGUCCGGAGUUACUGGGCGUAAAGCGCACGUAGGCGGUUGUGCAAGUGGUGUGUGAAACCAAUCAGCUUAACUGAUUGACGCCAUGCCAAACUGCACGACUAGAGUUAUGGAGAGGUUGCUCGAAUUGCCGGUGUAGUGGUGAAAUGCGUAGAGAUCGGCAGGAAGACCAAGGGAGAAAUCAGGCAACUGGCCAUAUACUGACGCUCAGGUGCGAAAGCGUGGGGAGCGAACUGG